AAUAGAUACCCGGGUAGUCCACGCCGUAAACGAUGGAUGCUAGCUAUUGGGGGGAAUCGACCCCCUCCGAAGCGAAGCUAACGCGUUAAGCAUCCCGCCUGAGUAGUACGAGCGCAAGCUUAAAACUACAAAGGAAUUGACGGGGACCCGCACAAGCGGUGGAGCGUGUGGUUUAAUUCGAUGGUAAACGAAGGACCUUACCAAGGUUUGACAUCCCGGUAGCCGUUCUCCGAAAGGAGAAUUUCAUUUAGUUGGACCGGUGACAGGUGAUGCAUGGCCGUCGUCAGCUCGUGUCGUGAGAUGUUGGGUUAAGUCCCGCAACGAGCGCAACCCUUAUGAUUUAGUUGGAUUUUUCUAAACAGACUGCCCUGGUAACAGGGAGGAAGGAGGGGAUGAUGUCAGGUCAGUAUUUCCCUUACACCUUGGGGCGACACACGCGCUACAAUGGCCGGUACAAUGGGCAGCUAAGCCGCGAGGUGGAGCAAAUCCCAUCAAAGCCGGUCCCAGUUCGGAUUGCAGGCUGAAACCCCGCUGCAUGAAGCCGGAAUCGCUAGUAA
rnacentral:rRNA from 1 species